CCCCCCUCAGGGCCGCACCUGGAUAGUUACCAGUACUCUACCAGUCUCGACUACAGGAGGGAGAGUCAAGCAGAGGCCUUUCCAUUCCAUUCCUAGCUUGGGCAGUGGCUAGUGAGUGGAAGGGAAUCUGCUACAAGU
rnacentral:snoRNA from 1 species